rnacentral:rRNA from 1 species
GAAACGGUAGCUAAUACCGCAUAACGUCGCAAGACCAAAGAGGGGGACCUUCGGGCCUCUUGCCAUCGGAUGUGCCCAGAUGGGAUUAGCUAGUAGGUGGGGUAACGGCUCACCUAGGCGACGAUCCCUAGCUGGUCUGAGAGGAUGACCAGCCACACUGGAACUGAGACACGGUCCAGACUCCUACGGGAGGCAGCAGUGGGGAAUAUUGCACAAUGGGCGCAAGCCUGAUGCAGCCAUGCCGCGUGUAUGAAGAAGGCCUUCGGGUUGUAAAGUACUUUCAGCGGGGAGGAA